rnacentral:lncRNA from 1 species
AUACCCCCUGAGAAACAUCUACUUCCGGACAGAAAGAGGUAAAAAAUAGGUCAGUAUGUCAAAAAAGAGCCUAGGAAUAUAGGGAAACCCCAGCAAGACCUAUCCAGAGGCAGGCAGCUAGGACACCCUGGUAGUCAGAAGGUGUUGCCUGCGUUCUGCUUGCAGAUGUUGGUCUGCCCAAUGGACAGUGGGCAGUGUCACAGAGAUCCUGGGAUACUGUGAUUCUUUCAUCCUGUUCCUUAAAGGGUCCUGUGGGUCUUCACCUGGAAGACUGGACACUCGUAGAGAAGAGCAAUAGUGACCAUUGUAUACAGUGAAGUGGAACUGAGAGAAGUUUCAUCAGAUGGUGAGUCUCCCAGAGCCAGUUAUGUGAGUGAUGACCGAGGCUGCAGAGUCACAAGCUGUUUCUCCAUUUAAGGUCCAAACUGAGAAGACUGGACAAAAGCUGAGCCAGAUGGAGGACACUGAUAUAAGGCAGGACCACUUAUCUGUCACUCCUGUCUGGCCACAUAGAGUAAGCCAGCUCUGGAUGUAUUUUACAAUUCACCUUCAUUCUACCAGUAACAGAGAGAGGCUCCAUGAGGCCUUGUUCCUUCAGACAUAAGCAGCUAUAUGAUGACAAAUGGACUGUGAAUGCUGAUAACUGAAAUGAUACCAAGUCACAGCCUCCCAAUGAAGUGAGAAGUUAAGAUUGAAACAUUUGGAUUUCUAGAGCUCCGGGACCACCUUGUCAGAUCACAAAUCAAGGGUUAAUCUCUGCAGCAAAUGAUAUUUAGAUUCUACUAUAUUUAUCUUGGAACGCUAGGACGUAAGCCCACGGAAGGUGGAUACUAACCUUUCUCAACCGCCAUACUGUCUGGUAAGAUGAGCAGCUCAUAUCACAGCCGAGACUAGUGAUAUCAUUUGCAGAGCUCAGAACAAGAUAAACUUGUAGCAUCUAUAUUCAGAAAGCAAGCGAAGAGCACUAUUUCAGGGAUACCUUAUUACUUACAAAGUGUAAAUUUUAUUACACUUUAUUAAUAUUAAAUAUUAUAUAUUUUUAUUAAUAGUGAUGAAUAUUACUAUUAAUAGUGAUGCAUGAGUAAUAACAUCCUUACACAUUGAGGAAACAAGGUUGACCCUACAAUUUUAUUCAAUUAACACAAAGAACAAGUUAAUAUCUUUUGAUUGCUAGCAAGAUAUAUUUUGCCUCAAUUCCUUGCAAAAUCAUUAAGCCACUAAGUUUAUGCUUUUUUAACUUCAUUCUUAAAUAUAUUCAAAAUAAUAUUAGUUAUGACACAUUCAAGAUUAAAAAUAAUUUUACAUUUCGAGAGGAAUCUGCUAAUACACUUAAGCAAUCUGUUAUUACUACACUUAAGAGUAUUUUACAGACUAUGAUUACAUUAGGAUACAUUUUUGAUCAUUUCAAAAUAUAAUUUCCCAUCACAUCUAGAACUAAAGAUAUUUGGGACAGUUUUUCUAAAAGAUUUAACUUCUCAUUCAAAUCAGUUUUGUGUAAAUCUGGGUUUAGUUACAAAUGCAUAUUUAUACAAUGAAUUCUUAAUAUUUCUUUGAUAUUUCAUGUAAUAUUAUACAAGUCAUAUAAGAAAAUCAAAGUGACAUUGGAACAUUUGUUUGAGUCCAAACAUGUAUUCAUGCAUUCUGCUCUCAGGGCACCAGUUAUGAGGAAAAGUGAAAGUUAGAAUUAUGUUCUUCAAUUAAAGAAGAUCUCAGAAGAUGGAAAGAUCUCCCAUGCUCAUGGAUUGGCAGGAUCAACAUUGUAAAAAU